AUGUCUCAGCUCGCCCGCGCCAGCCUGACUGCGGUGGCGAUGUUCCUUCUCCUUGCCGCCGCAGCAGCGGCGGGGCCGGCGGGCUGCCAGGACGACGUUGUGGCGCUCAACGAGGCCUGCUACCAGUACGUGCAGAAGGGCGCGCCGACGGUGCCGCCGUCGCAGGAGUGCUGCGACGCCGUGAAGAGCGUGGACGUGCCCUGCGUCUGCAGCUACCUGGGCAGCCCCGGCGUGCGGGACAACAUCAGCAUGGAGAAGGUGUUCUACGUCUCCCAGCAGUGCGGCGUCAGCAUCCCUGGCAACUGCGGAGGUGAGCUAGCUGCUGCUUCACUUGGUUGA
rnacentral:rRNA from 1 species